GGUCAUGUGGUGCAAUGGCAGCAUGCUUGACUCAGAACCAAGAGGUCCCAGGUUCAAGUCCUGACAUGCCA